UACGAAGGGGGCUAGCGUUGCUCGGAAUUACUGGGCGUAAAGCGCACGUAGGCGGUCUUUUAAGUCGGGGGUGAAAUCCUGGAGCUCAACUCCAGAACUGCCUUCGAUACUGGAAGACUUGAGUCCGGGAGAGGUGAGUGGAACUGCGAGUGUAGAGGUGAAAUUCGUAGAUAUUCGCAAGAACACCGGUGGCGAAGGCGGCUCACUGGCCCGGUACUGACGCUGAGGUGCGAAAGCGUGGGGAGCAAACAGGG
rnacentral:rRNA from 1 species